CUCUACAGGCGCGGCGCUGAUCUUUACAGGGCGAUUAGAUACGAAGAAAUGCUGGCCUGGCUGGAACACGAUCAAAUAGUUGGCCUGACGUGUGUUUUCAUUUUUUUCUCUACAGAAAACGACGAGAGCGGUCGUGGUAUGCUGGCUGAGGAGCCAUGGCUGCUUCUCUGGCCAUCGCAUAUCAACAGGUGACUCGAUCAACUCUAGGCAGUCUUCAUCGUACAGGCAAUGGAGCACUUGAAUGAGAGCCGAUGCGCUGGCGGUCUGUCAUCCGAGGGAGCUUCCAGGAAUUAUGCCCGGCAGCAGCUGAUCGCUCCGUCACGAGCCUCUCUCUCAGUGGAUAGACGCUUCAUAAUUGAGCUCCUCUCUUUCUCUACACCCAUUCAAUGAUUCAGAAGCCUCUCACUCAA